UACGGAGGGGGCAAGCGUUGUCCGGAAUUAUUGGGCGUAAAGCGCGCGCAGGCGGUCUUUUAAGUCGGAUGUGAAAGCCCACGGCUCAACCGUGGAGUGGCAUUGGAAACUGGGAGACUUGAGUACAGAAGAGGAGAGUGGAAUUCCAGGUGUAGCGGUGAAAUGCGUAGAUAUGUGGAGGAACACCAGGGGCGAAGGCGACUCUCUGGUCUGUAACUGACGCUGAGGCGCGAAAGCGUGGGGAGAAAACAGG
rnacentral:misc_RNA from 1 species